UCUUUGACAUGUGCUCGCCCCUCUAAUCCACUCUAUACACCUGUGCACCAAUUGUGGGUAUACGAGCAUGGAAGGGGGCUGGAUAACGGCCUCUGAAAGUGCGCAUAUACUCAUGUUUAUACACACUAUGUAUGUCUCAGAAUGUCUACUUUGCGUUAACUCGCAUAUAAUACAACUUUCAACAACGGAUCUCUUGGCUCUCGCAUCGAUGAAGAACGCAGCGAAAUGCGAUAAGUAAUGUGAAUUGCAGAAUUCAGUGAAUCAUCGAAUCUUUGAACGCACCUUGCGCUCCUUGGUAUUCCGAGGAGCAUGCCUGUUUGAGUGUCAUGAAUCUCUCAAUACUAGAGCUUGUUAAUUCAAGCACUAGUCAUUGGACUUGGGAGCUUGCCGGCCUAGUCGGCUCUCCUUGAAUGCAUUAGCUUGGACCUUUUUCACGAGGAUCCCCGGUGUGAUAAUUAUCUACGCCGUCAGAGAAUCGUGUGGCGCGUGCUACCCUGCUUUAUUGCAGCUGCUGUAGCCGCGGGGGGGCGAGCUUAUAAUCGUCUUCGGACAACUAUUAUGACAUCUGACCUCAAAUCAGGUAGGACUACCCGCUGAACUUAAGCAUAUCAAUAAGCGGAGGAAAAGAAACUAACAAGGAUUCCCCUAGUAACUGCGAGUGAAGCGGGAAAAGCUCAAAUUUAAAAUCUGGUGGUCUUAGGCCAUCCGAGUUGUAGUCUAGAGAAGCGUUUUCCGUGCUGGACCGUGUAAAAGUCUCUUGGAAUAGAGCAUCAUAGAGGGUGAGAAUCCCGUCUUUGACACGGACUGCCAGUGCUUUGUGAUGCGCUCUCGAAGAGUCGCGUUGUUUGGGAAUGCAGCGCAAAAUGGGUGGUAUAUUCCAUCUAAAGCUAAAUAUUGGCGAGAGACCGAUAGCGAACAAGUACCGUGAGGGAAAGAUGAAAAGCACUUUGGAAAGAGAGUUAAACAGUACGUGAAAUUGUUGAAAGGGAAACGCUUGAAGUCAGUCGCGUCUGCCAGGACUCAGCCUUGCUCUUUUGCUUGGUGUAUUUUCUGGUGGACGGGCCAGCAUCGAUUUCGGCCGUUGGAUAAGGUUCUAGGGAAUGUGGCACCUCCGGGUGUGUUAUAGCCCUGGUUCACAUACAACGGCUGGGAUCGAGGACCGCAGCACGCCUUUUGGCCGGGGUUCGCCCACGUACGUGCUUAGGAUGCUGGC
rnacentral:rRNA from 1 species